rnacentral:rRNA from 1 species
GUGCCAGCAGCCGCGGUAAUACAGAGGGUGCAAGCGUUGUUCGGAAUUAUUGGGCGUAAAGCGCGUGUAGGCGGCUUUGCAAGUCGGGUGUGAAAUCCCUCAGCUUAACUGAGGAAGUGCGCCCGAAACUGCCGAGCUUGAGUACCGGAGAGGGUGGCGGAAUUCCCCAAGUAGAGGUGAAAUUCGUAGAUAUGGGGAGGAACACCGGUGGCGAAGGCGGCCACCUGGACGGAUACUGACGCUGAGACGCGAAAGCGUGGGGAGCAAACAGGAUUAGAAACCCUUGUAGUCC